UACGUAGGGUGCGAGCGUUAAUCGGAAUUACUGGGCGUAAAGCGUGCGCAGGCGGUUCGUUAAGUUCGUCGUGAAAGCCCCGGGCUCAACCUGGGAAUGGCGAUGGAAACUGGCGGGCUGGAGUGCGGCAGAGGGGGGUGGAAUUCCACGUGUAGCAGUGAAAUGCGUAGAGAUGUGGAGGAACACCGAUGGCGAAGGCAGCCCCCUGGGCCGACACUGACGCUCAGGCACGAAAGCGUGGGGAGCAAACAGG
rnacentral:rRNA from 1 species